rnacentral:rRNA from 1 species
CCUACGGGCGGCAGCAGUGGGGAAUAUUGCACAAUGGGCGCAAGCCUGAUGCAGCCAUGCCGCGUGUGUGAAGAAGGCCUUCGGGUUGUAAAGCACUUUCAGCGGGGAGGAAGGCGUUAAGGUUAAUAACCUUGGCGAUUGACGUUACCCGCAGAAGAAGCACCGGCUAACUCCGUGCCAGCAGCCGCGGUAAUACGGAGGGUGCAAGCGUUAAUCGGAAUUACUGGGCGUAAAGCGCACGCAGGCGGUCUGUCAAGUCGGAUGUGAAAUCCCCGGGCUCAUCCUGGGAACUGCAUUCGAAACUGGCAGGCUAGAGUCUUGUAGAGGGGGGUAGAAUUCCAGGUGUAGCGGUGAAAUGCGUAGAGAUCUGGAGGAAUACCGGUGGCGAAGGCGGCCCCCUGGACAAAGACUGACGCUCAGGUGCGAAAGCGUGGGGAGCAAACAGGAUUAGAUACCCGGGUAGUC